GAUGAACGCUGGCGGCGUGCCUAAUACAUGCAAGUCGAGCGAACGGACGAGAAGCUUGCUUCUCUGAUGUUAGCGGCGGACGGGUGAGUAACACGUGGAUAACCUACCUAUAAGACUGGGAUAACUUCGGGAAACCGGAGCUAAUACCGGAUAAUAUUUUGAACCGCAUGGUUCAAAAGUGAAAGACGGUCUUGCUGUCACUUAUAGAUGGAUCCGCGCUGCAUUAGCUAGUUGGUAAGGUAACGGCUUACCAAGGCAACGAUGCAUAGCCGACCUGAGAGGGUGAUCGGCCACACUGGAACUGAGACACGGUCCAGACUCCUACGGGAGGCAGCAGUAGGGAAUCUUCCGCAAAGGGCAAAAGCCUGACGGAGCAACGCCGCGUGAGUGAUGAAGGUCUUCGGAUCGUAAAACUCUGUUAUUAGGGAAGAACAUAUGUGUAAGUAACUGUGCACAUCUUGACGGUACCUAAUCAGAAAGCCACGGCUAACUACGUG
rnacentral:rRNA from 1 species